UCCAGGGGAAGCGGGUUUUUGGCCUUGAGGACAGAAAACGGCAUCAAUUUUGCUAAAAUUCUCGAGAAAAUCGGCCUAUAAUGAUGGCAAUCGAAUUCCCCCUCGAUAAAAAUAUUACCCAUUUAGCUAGGAAUGGCUUCAUUUUGCUGUCUUGUCGGAGUUUUCCAAGGAAAUCUGAGGGUAACUGGUCGAAGUAUUAGCUCUCAUGAAUGGAAUCACGAGAUUACGCCGUUUCUUCUCAGGAAUAACGUUCCUGUUAGCCGGUGCAACGAUCACGUAGUGAUCUUGGAUGAUGGCUUUGAGGCGAUUUGUAGCCGGCUUUGUUUGGCUGUGCGUAGGGUGCAGGGCCUGAAGCUCAUGGUGGAUUGAUUCGCCUCCCUGCUCCCCGAAAAAGCCCAAAGGGAAUCUCCAGCGCCUGAUGAAUUUCCACGACGUGGUGCUCCAGCAUGUAGAACCUGGGAGGGAAAGACUCAUCAGGAAAUGUUUCGCGGUAGUAACCACAUAGUAGUUUGAUAUCUUGCUCUGUUGGCGAAAAAUAAGUCAAAAUAGGUUUGAAUAUAGGUUUGAAUUGAUAACUGUUCUUGGGACAUCGGGGUCGCAGAAUUGUACUUGAAGUGGCACACACUGAAUAAGCUGAACAACUGUUGGAAUUUUGCCUUGACAGUUCUUGCCUGGCCAAGUAGUUCUGGACACUCAGCCUGGCAGACCUCAAUGACUCUGUGGCAAACGGCUUCGAUAUUCUUGGGCUUUGUGAACAAAAUGUGGACAAAAUCCAGUUACUAAACCACCUGUCGUAGCGAAACAAAUACUUUAAGAUAUGUUGCUAUUUCAACCAA